rnacentral:rRNA from 1 species
AGAGCGAACGCUGGCGGCAGGCCUAACACAUGCAAGUCGAGCGCCCGUAGCAAUACGGGAGCGGCAGACGGGAUAGUAACACGUGGGAACGCGCCCUUCGGUUCGGAAUAACUCAGGGAAACUUGAGCUAAUACCGGAUACGCCCUUACGGGGAAAGAUUUAUUGCCGAAGGAACGGCCCGCGUCCGAUUAGCUAGUUGGUGAGGUAAUGGCUCACCAAGGCGACGAUCGGUAGCUGGUCUGAGAGGAUGACCAGCAUCACUGGGACUGAGACACGGCCCAGACUCCUACGGGAGGCAGCAGUGGGGAAUAUGGACAAUGGGCGCAAGCCUGAUCCAGCCAUGCCGCGUGGAUGAUGAAGGCCUUAGGGUUGUAAAGUCCUUUUAACGGGGAAGAUAAUGACGGUACCAGUGGAAGAAGCCCCGGCUAACUUCGUGCCAGCAGCCGC